UCCUAAUACAUGGAAAACGAGCGAAUCAAUGGGAGCUUGCUCCCAGAGAUUAGCGUUUUGCCGGGUGAGUAACACGUGGGCAACCUGCCUAUAAGACUGGGAUAACUUCGGGAAACCGGAACUAAUACCGGAUAAUUCUUUUCCUCUCAUGAGGAAAAGCUGAAAGACGGUUUACGCUGUCACUUAUAGAUGGGCCCGCGGCGCAUUAGCUAGUUGGUGAGGUAACGGCUCACCAAGGCGACGAUGCGUAGCCGACCUGAGAGGGUGAUCGGCCACACUGGGACUGAGACACGGCCCAG
rnacentral:misc_RNA from 1 species